UACGGGGGGAGCGAGCGUUGUUCGGAUUUACUGGGCGUAAAGGGCGCGUAGGCGGUCAGCACAAGUCAGUUGUGAAAUCUCCGGGCUUAACUCGGAAAGGUCAACUGAUACUGUGCGACUAGAGUGCAGAAGGGGCAACUGGAAUUCUCGGUGUAGCGGUGAAAUGCGUAGAUAUCGAGAGGAACACCUGCGGCGAGGGCGGGUUGCUGGGCUGACACUGACGCUGAUGCGCGAAAGCCAGGGGAGCGAACGGG
rnacentral:rRNA from 1 species